UAGCGGAGGAAAAGAAACCAACCGGGAUUGCCUUAGUAACGGCGAGUGAAGCGGCAAAAGCUCAAAUUUGAAAUCUGGUACCUUCGGUGCCCGAGUUGUAAUUUGGAGAGGGCAACUUUGGGGCCGUUCCUUGUCUAUGUUCCUUGGAACAGGACGUCAUAGAGGGUGAGAAUCCCGUGUGGCGAGGAGUGCGGUUCUUUGUAAAGUGCCCUCGAAGAGUCGAGUUGUUUGGGAAUGCAGCUCUAAGUGGGUGGUAAAUUCCAUCUAAAGCUAAAUAUUGGCGAGAGACCGAUAGCGAACAAGUACAGUGAUGGAAAGAUGAAAAGAACUUUGAAAAGAGAGUGAAAAAGUACGUGAAAUUGUUGAAAGGGAAGGGCAUUUGAUCAGACAUGGUGUUUUGUGCCCUCUGCUCCUUGUGGGUAGGGGAAUCUCGCAUUUCACUGGGCCAGCAUCAGUUUUGGUGGCAGGAUAAAUCCAUAGGAAUGUAGCUUGCCUCGGUAAGUAUUAUAGCCUGUUGGGAAUACUGCCAGCUGGGACUGAGGACUGCGACGUAAGUCAAGGAU
rnacentral:rRNA from 1 species